GAUGAACGCUAGCGGCAGGCUUAAUACAUGCAAGUCGAACGGUAACAGGUCUUCGGACGCUGACGAGUGGCGCACGGGUGAGGAACACGUACACAAUCUACCUUAUACUGGAGAAUAGCCCCGGGAAACUGGGAUUAAUACUCCAUAGUCUUUAAUGAUCACAUGAGAAAUAAAGUAAAGCUUCGGCGGUAUAAGAUGAGUGUGCGUCCCAUUAGAUUGUUGGUGAGGUAACGGCUCACCAAGUCGACGAUGGGUAGCUGGCGUGAGAGCGCGACCAGCCACACUGGCACUGAGACACGGGCCAGACUCCUACGGGAGGCAGCAGUAGGGAAUAUUGGUCAAUGGACGAAAGUCUGAACCAGCCAUGCCGCGUGGAGGAUGACUGCCCUCUGGGUUGUAAACUCCUUUUAUAUGGGAAGAAACCUCUGGAUUCACUCCAGAGCUGACGGUAUCAUAUGAAUAAGCACCGGCU
rnacentral:rRNA from 1 species